CCCAAUUUUUUUUUUUAAAUUAGUACUCAUGAAUUGUUAGAUUUUAUCAUUAGCAAGUAUCUGUUCCAGUGAUUAAAGGCUUUAAUUAUGUGUUUAAGGUUUUGGGUUCAAAUCUCAAAUCUAAUUAUUUUUGUUCCUAGGUUUACCUUUGUUCGUUGGGUUUCAUUAUUAUUUUCGAUCAAUUUGCAUCAGAAUGAGUCUGCUGGUUUAGUGGUAGAGUGUUAGUUUAUCUCAUGGUCCUGAGUUCGAAUGUCUAUGGGAGCAUUUGGGCAAUAUUGUUGUUUUUUUCGUUUGAGCCGACUCUGUUGUGUUUAAUGUUUAAUCAAAUUCAAUUUUUGGGAGAAUCUGAUAGUUAUUAGGUUGUUGGGCUAUUGGAUAUUAUUUUUAUUUUGUUUUUUUUGUAAAAUCUAGUAAAAAUAAUUUUGAAAUUAUUUUCCCCUUCCGAUUAUUCAUGUUCCCAGUUUUGUUUCCCUACUUCCCCAUCUUUGCUUCACAUUUUUUUCCCAGUGAAGAUAUUGAGAAAAACCAGUUUUUGUUCUUUUGCUUUUUGGUGCUUUUGCUGCUUGUGACUUUCUUUCUUUUUUCCAACGUUUUCAAUUUAUCUUGAUUCUUUGUGUUUGUUGAUUUCAAAUCGUAAAGGUAAGGGUUCUCUUGAUAUUUUUUUCUGUUAUUCGAGUUGUGUUAGGGUUUUGGGGAAAAGGUGAUUUCGAUAGAGUGGUGUUAAUUUGUAUGACACAUUCUAAUUUAAUCGAUUCAUUUUAGGAGAAGAACGUGUGUUGCCUGGCGAUUUUCUAACAAGUUGACUCGGGUGUUGCUGUGCGUGCUAGGGUUCUUGUAGUGUCAAGGGUGUUUCGCAUCAAAAUCGAACCAAGUGUAUAACGAGAAACUCGAAAAACAACGGAUAAAACAAAGCCGAAAAACAACAUUGUUGAUGCCACACGGUCGUGCGCCAGGCCGUGUGUAACACAUGACCGUGUGGACCACACGGGCGUGUGUGAGGUCGUGUGCUAGUCCUUGUGGGCCACAUGGGCGUGUGUGAGGCUGUGUGGGCCUAAAAUUCUAAAAUUUUCUCCAGAGCCGUACACGUCAUUUCAAUCGACCGUUGGCCUUUCGUAAGGUAAUCCUCAGACUUAGGUUGGUCGUUGCGAUGGGAGCUCGAUUAUUUUUAGAUCUUACACUUAUUUUAAAUGUUUGGAAUUUUGGUUUUUUGUAAAUUUUGGACUUUUUGGACUAUUUUGGUUUGUUUUUGAGGUUUUUAUUUUCUUUUUGCUUAAAAUGUCGUUUAAAAGUUUUGUCGGUAAAAUUAUUUUUCUACAAAAGUAACAGAUUUCAAGCAAUAGGGAGAGCAUUAACAAAAAUUCAACAUUUUAAGAGUUUUCCACUGUAAAAUUAUGAGUAUUUUUAUAAAGCGAACAACACUUUUUAAAUAAUUCAAAAUUUUAAGAAUUCAAAACGGAUUCCAAAAUUAUGUGAGAACUGAAUUUUCAAGCAAUUUAUGUAACACUUCUUGAUUUGCUCGUAACAUCUAGGCCAGAUUUGGGGUGUUACAUAUUUACCCUUGAAAGCUAUGAAAGAAAGAAAUUCUAUUAUGCGAGAACCUCUUUUUGUCAGCUCUUCAAACUAUGUGACUGGAAAGCUCAGAUGAGAGCUUUUAUCUUGUUUGUUGAUAAAUUUGCUUGGAAAAAUGUUGAGGAAUGGUGGACCAAGCCUAAAGUGAUAGGUGCUGAUGGGGCAACAAAGCCGAAAGAAAUAAAUCAAUAUACUAUUGAAGGUAAAAAUGAUACUCGAACAAACUUAAAAGCCCUUUAUGUUAUCUUUAGUAGGGUUGACAUGGACCAGUUCAAGAUGAUUUCAACUUAUAAAAGGAAUAAAUAAGUAUAAACAAUCUUACAAAAUCAAUAUGAAGGGAAUGUUGCUUUCAGAA